AUUGAACGCUGGCGGAAUGCUUUACACAUGCAAGUCGAACGGUAGAGGGGGCAACCCCCUUGAGAGUGGCGAACGGGUGAGUAAUAUAUCGGAACGUGCCCAGUCGUGGGGAUAACGUAGCGAAAGUUACGCUAAUACCGCAUACGAUCUAAGGAUGAAAGCGGGGGAUCGCAAGACCUCGCGCGAUUGGAGCGGCCGAUAUCAGAUUAGGUAGUUGGUGAGGUAAAGGCUCACCAAGCCAACGAUCUGUAGCUGGUCUGAGAGGACGACCAGCCACACUGGGACUGAGACACGGCCCAGACUCCUACGGGAGGCAGCAGUGGGGGAAUUUUGGACAAUGGGGCGCAAGCCUGAUCCAGCAAUGCCGCGUGCAGGAUGAAGGCCU
rnacentral:rRNA from 1 species